UUCUCAAAAGUUAGACCGUUCUUUUGAGGAGAGGAGGAACUCCGUCACGAGGAAUGAUGACCGCUACAACCUCCGACCAGUGGUGCGACAGUGAAGAAGGUCAUUUUGCGUAUAGGUCAUAAUUGAGGGAGUAUUAGUUGGCAUGCUUGGUGCAAACCACAAAUUCUGUUUGCGACACCUAUACAACUUCAACAAAAUAUUCAAGGGGAAGGCAUUGAAGGGUGCUGUUUGGGCUAUCGGGAAAUCAUACACUCCAAUAUGACUUUAUUCAAUACAUGGAAGUUAUCCAGAGCUGCUUCAAAGAUGCAUAUGACUAGAUUAGUAGAAUAGUCCUAGAGACAUGGUCCAAACAUGGGUUUGACUUUGUAGUUAACUUAGAUGACAUUACAAACAAUUGGACCAAGUCAUUUAAUUCCUAGAUUGGAAAGGCUAGAAUAAUACCCAUUGUUGAAAUGUUGGAAGAUAUACAGAAAAGAUGGAUGCAAAAUAUAUAUGAAAGACAUGAGGUUGCCAAUGCACCUGGUGUUGAGCUAUUACAAAAGGUGUAAUCAAUCAUUGAUAGGAGGGAAGCCAUUCAAUGUUUAAUUAGUAUACACCUUAUUUCCUUUUUUUGUUUUA